rnacentral:rRNA from 1 species
GGGUUGUGAGGUUAAGCGACUAAGCGUACACGGUGGAUGCCCUGGCAGUCAGAGGCGAUGAAGGACGUGCUAAUCUGCGAUAAGCGUCGGUAAGGUGAUAUGAACCGUUAUAACCGGCGAUUUCCGAAUGGGGAAACCCAGUGUGUUUCGACACACUAUCAUUAACUGAAUCCAUAGGUUAAUGAGGCGAACCGGGGGAACUGAAACAUCUAAGUACCCCGAGGAAAAGAAAUCAACCGAGAUUCCCCCAGUAGCGGCGAGCGAACGGGGAGCAGCCCAGAGCCUGAAUCAGUGUGUGUGUUAGUGGAAGCGUCUGGAAAGGCGCGCGAUACAGGGUGACAGCCCCGUACACAAAAAUACACAUACUGUGAGCUCGAUGAGUAGGGCGGGACACGUGGUAUCCUGUCUGAAUAUGGGGGGACCAUCCUCCAAGGCUAAAUACUCCUGACUGACCGAUAGUGAACCAGUACCGUGAGGGAAAGGCGAAAAGAACCCCGGCGAGGGGAGUGAAAAAGAACCUGAAACCGUGUACGUACAAGCAGUGGGAGCACAGAGCAAUCUGUGUGACUGCGUACCUUUUGUAUAAUGGGUCAGCGACUUAUAUUCUGUAGCAAGGUUAACCGAAUAGGGGAGCCGAAGGGAAACCGAGUCUUAACUGGGCGUUAAGUUGCAGGGUAUAGACCCGAAACCCGGUGAUCUAGCCAUGGGCAGGUUGAAGGUUGGGUAACACUAACUGGAGGACCGAACCGACUAAUGUUGAAAAAUUAGCGGAUGACUUGUGGCUGGGGGUGAAAGGCCAAUCAAACCGGGAGAUAGCUGGUUCUCCCCGAAAGCUAUUUAGGUAGCGCCUCGUGAAUUCAUCUCCGGGGGUAGAGCACUGUUUCGGCAAGGGGGUCAUCCCGACUUACCAACCCGAUGCAAACUGCGAAUACCGGAGAAUGUUAUCACGGGAGACACACGGCGGGUGCUAACGUCCGUCGUGAAGAGGGAAACAACCCAGACCGCCAGCUAAGGUCCCAAAGUCAUGGUUAAGUGGGAAACGAUGUGGGAAGGCCCAGACAGCCAGGAUGUUGGCUUAGAAGCAGCCAUCAUUUAAAGAAAGCGUAAUAGCUCACUGGUCGAGUCGGCCUGCGCGGAAGAUGUAACGGGGCUAAACCAUGCACCGAAGCUGCGGCAGCGACGCUUAUGCGUUGUUGGGUAGGGGAGCGUUCUGUAAGCCUGCGAAGGUGUGCUGUGAGGCAUGCUGGAGGUAUCAGAAGUGCGAAUGCUGACAUAAGUAACGAUAAAGCGGGUGAAAAGCCCGCUCGCCGGAAGACCAAGGGUUCCUGUCCAACGUUAAUCGGGGCAGGGUGAGUCGACCCCUAAGGCGAGGCCGAAAGGCGUAGUCGAUGGGAAACAGGUUAAUAUUCCUGUACUUGGUGUUACUGCGAAGGGGGGACGGAGAAGGCUAUGUUGGCCGGGCGACGGUUGUCCCGGUUUAAGCGUGUAGGCUGGUUUUCCAGGCAAAUCCGGAAAAUCAAGGCUGAGGCGUGAUGACGAGGCACUACGGUGCUGAAGCAACAAAUGCCCUGCUUCCAGGAAAAGCCUCUAAGCAUCAGGUAACAUCAAAUCGUACCCCAAACCGACACAGGUGGUCAGGUAGAGAAUACCAAGGCGCUUGAGAGAACUCGGGUGAAGGAACUAGGCAAAAUGGUGCCGUAACUUCGGGAGAAGGCACGCUGAUAUGUAGGUGAAGCGACUUGCUCGUGGAGCUGAAAUCAGUCGAAGAUACCAGCUGGCUGCAACUGUUUAUUAAAAACACAGCACUGUGCAAACACGAAAGUGGACGUAUACGGUGUGACGCCUGCCCGGUGCCGGAAGGUUAAUUGAUGGGGUCAGCGCAAGCGAAGCUCUUGAUCGAAGCCCCGGUAAACGGCGGCCGUAACUAUAACGGUCCUAAGGUAGCGAAAUUCCUUGUCGGGUAAGUUCCGACCUGCACGAAUGGCGUAAUGAUGGCCAGGCUGUCUCCACCCGAGACUCAGUGAAAUUGAACUCGCUGUGAAGAUGCAGUGUACCCGCGGCAAGACGGAAAGACCCCGUGAACCUUUACUAUAGCUUGACACUGAACAUUGAGCCUUGAUGUGUAGGAUAGGUGGGAGGCUUUGAAGUGUGGACGCCAGUCUGCAUGGAGCCGACCUUGAAAUACCACCCUUUAAUGUUUGAUGUUCUAACGUGGACCCGUAAUCCGGGUUGCGGACAGUGUCUGGUGGGUAGUUUGACUGGGGCGGUCUCCUCCUAAAGAGUAACGGAGGAGCACGAAGGUUGGCUAAUCCUGGUCGGACAUCAGGAGGUUAGUGCAAUGGCAUAAGCCAGCUUGACUGCGAGCGUGACGGCGCGAGCAGGUGCGAAAGCAGGUCAUAGUGAUCCGGUGGUUCUGAAUGGAAGGGCCAUCGCUCAACGGAUAAAAGGUACUCCGGGGAUAACAGGCUGAUACCGCCCAAGAGUUCAUAUCGACGGCGGUGUUUGGCACCUCGAUGUCGGCUCAUCACAUCCUGGGGCUGAAGUAGGUCCCAAGGGUAUGGCUGUUCGCCAUUUAAAGUGGUACGCGAGCUGGGUUUAGAACGUCGUGAGACAGUUCGGUCCCUAUCUGCCGUGGGCGCUGGAGAACUGAGGGGGGCUGCUCCUAGUACGAGAGGACCGGAGUGGACGCAUCACUGGUGUUCGGGUUGUCAUGCCAAUGGCACUGCCCGGUAGCUAAAUGCGGAAGAGAUAAGUGCUGAAAGCAUCUAAGCACGAAACUUGCCCCGAGAUGAGUUCUCCCUGACUCCUUGAGAGUCCUGAAGGAACGUUGAAGACGACGACGUUGAUAGGCCGGGUGUGUAAGCGCAGCGAUGCGUUGAGCUAACCGGUACUAAUGAACCGUGAGGCUUAACCUUACAACGCCGAAGCUGUU